AACGCUAGCUACAGGCUUAACACAUGCAAGUCGAGGGGCAGCAUUGGAGUAGCAAUACUUCAGAUGGCGACCGGCGCACGGGUGAGUAACACGUAUCCAACCUGCCGCUUACUCGGGGAUAGCCUUUCGAAAGAAAGAUUAAUACCCGAUGGUAUAAAGAGUUCGCAUGUUCUCUUUAUUAAAGAAUUUCGGUAAGCGAUGGGGAUGCGUUCCAUUAGAUUGUUGGCGGGGUAACGGCCCACCAAGUCUACGAUGGAUAGGGGUUCUGAGAGGAAGGUCCCCCACAUUGGAACUGAGACACGGUCCAAACUCCUACGGGAGGCAGCAGUGAGGAAUAUUGGUCAAUGGACGAGAGUCUGAACCAGCCAAGUAGCGUGAAGGAUGACUGCCCUAUGGGUUGUAAACUUCUUUUAUAAGGGAAUAAAGUGAGGGACGUGUCCCUUUUUGUAUGUACCUUAUGAAUAAGGAUCGGCUAACUCCGUGCCAGCAGCCGCGGUAAUACGGAGGAUCCAAGCGUUAUCCGGAUUUAUUGGGUUUAAAGGGAGCGUAGGUUGACAUAUAAGUCAGCUGUGAAAGUUUACGGCUCAACCGUGAAAUUGCAGUUGAUACUGUAUGUCUUGAGUGUACAAGAGGUGGGCGGAAUUCGUGGUGUAGCGGUGAAAUGCUUAGAUAUCACGAAGAACUCCGAUUG
rnacentral:rRNA from 1 species